rnacentral:tRNA from 1 species
GGAGGAGUGGCAGAGUGGUCGAAUGCACCGGUCUUGAAAACCGGCAAGGGUUAAUAGCCCUUCUAGGGUUCAAAUCCCUACUCCUCCGCCA